UGCAUUUAAUGCAGGAUAGAGAUGACACUCAUGGAGUCGAGUGUCUAUGAAUCACUCAGUUUUCAAUUUGAUUUGAUAUUGAUAUAGUGCAGCCAACCAAAAUCUGUAUUUUUCUACUUGUUUCUCUCCACUCAAUACCCAUCUCACACCCUUCUAGCAAUCACUAGCUCAUUAAUUGUUACAGGUAAUGAUGCAGAGAUCCGAGAUGUUUCUCUAUUUAUUCAUCGAAAAUAACUAUAUCUACACAGAAUUCCUAUGAAAACCAAAACAAUCUGACAUCAAUCAAGCUCUUCAAAGCAAGAACAAAAUGAAGUUACUAGGAUGGAUGCAGCAUAAGUUACGACAAAAUAAUAUUGAGCCUUUCAAGGAUUUCACAACUGGGAACUACUGCUCCUGUCUUUCAGCUUAUUCAUCCCUCAAUGAUGAAGACUCCCAUCUGAAAUCAACUUCCACAUACGGACAUGGAGCAAGAUACUCAACUCACCCCAAAGAGGAAAAUGAAAAGU